AAUAUUUGGCAAUGGGGGAAACCCUGACCCAGCGACGUCGCGUGAGGGAAUAAGGUCUUCGGAUUGUAAACCUUUGUCAACAGGGAGGAAGCAAGUGACGGUACCGGAAGAGGAAGCCACGGCUAACUACGUGCCAGCAGCCGCGGUAAUACGUAGGUGGCGAGCGUUAUCCGGAAUUACUGGGUGUAAAGGGUGUGUAGGCGGGGAUGCAAGUCAGAUGUGAAAUUCAUGGGCUCAGCCUACGGUGUGCAUUUGAAACUGUAUUUCUUGAGUGUGGGAGAGGUAAGCGGAAUUCCUAGUGUAGCGGUGAAAUGCGUAGAUAUUAGGAGGAACACCAGUGGCGAAGGCGGCUUACUGGACCACAACUGACGCUGAGACACGAAAGCGUGGGGAGCAAACAGG
rnacentral:rRNA from 1 species